rnacentral:lncRNA from 1 species
UGGGGGUUUACGGGUGUUUUCUAAGUCAAAUGGGUGGACAGACAAAGCUGUAUUUAGUUUACUGUGUUAAAUUUUAAAUUACCCUUACAGUUUUGUUUAUACAACAUGUGAAUUUUUUAUUUCAGUGUUAACCAUGUUCUGAAGAGCAUUCUGUUGAAAAAUCUUAUAUGUGAAUUGGUCUGCAGAUGACACUUCAGCAUUAAAGUAAGUAUCAACUAUCAUCAUGUUUUUUUGUUUUUUUUGGCCGCAAAAGUUUACAAUUUGCCAUUGUGCCGUCUACAUUUUGCACAGACAAUAAAUCAUCUAAACACUUAUUUGCCCUGGAUUUAUACACAUCAGAAUCCAGUCUCACAUACUUAAACUUUAUAAUUCUUACCAAUUAUUUUUUGUACCAGCAUUCCAAGGGACAUAACCCUUUUUAAAAACAUUUUGAGGUAUUUUUUAUUACUCUUUCUCCCCAUUUUCUAAUGUAAAAUACAAGAAAGUGGACUCUUUGUGUAAAUCUAUUAGAAAUAUACUGUUAUGAGUAAAUAAAAAGACUUUGAUACCAGUAACAAUAAAUGAUUGACUGAAAGGGAACCGUUAUUUGUCACACUAGGCGAACAGACCAAAAACUCGAGUUACACAUAAGGGCUUAUAGAAACUUCCGUGUAGACUGUUAACAUUUAUAGAGACAGUUCUUUCAGCUAAAACACUUUAAUUAUUGAUUUAACAUUACAUUUAUUUCAUUUUUGUGGGGAAAUAAUCACAUUUGUUUUAUUUUUUAGACAAAAGAUAUCAAGUUUUGAUGAAAAAGGAAGGAAGGAGGAAAAAUGGACCAAAACAGAC